rnacentral:rRNA from 1 species
AAACUUAAAUGAAUUGACGGGACCCGCACAAGCGGUGGAUGAUGUGGAUUAAUUCGAUGCAACGCGAAAAACCUUACCUACCCUUGACAUGUCCGGAAUCCCGAAGAGAUUUGGGAGUGCUCGAAAGAGAACCUGCACACAGGUGCUGCAUGGCUGUCGUCAGCUCGUGUCGUGAGAUGUUGGGUUAAGUCCCGCAACGAGCGCAACCCUUGCCAUUAGUUGCUACGAAAGGGCACUCUAAUGGGACUGCCGGUGACAAACCGGAGGAAGGUGGGGAUGACGUCAAGUCCUCAUGGCCCUUAUAGGUGGGGCUACGCACGUCAUACAAUGGCCGGUACAGAGGGUAGCCAACCCGCGAGGGGGAGCCAAUCCCACAAAGCCGGUCGUAGUCCGGAUCGCAGUCUGCAACUCGACUGCGUGAAGUCGGAAUCGCUAGUAAUCGCGGAUCAGCAUGUCGCGGUGAAUACGUUCCCGGGUCUU